rnacentral:rRNA from 1 species
UAACACAUGCAAGUCGAGCGCAGUCCUUCGGGACCGAGCGGCGGACGGGUUAGUAACGCGUGGGAACAUACCCUUUUCUACGGAAUAGCCUCGGGAAACUGAGAGUAAUACCGUAUAAGCCCUUCGGGGGAAAGAUUUAUCGGGAAAGGAUUGGCCCGCGUUAGAUUAGAUAGUUGGUGGGGUAAUGGCCUACCAAGUCUACGAUCUAUAGCUGGUUUUAGAGGAUGAUCAGCAACACUGGGACUGAGACACGGCCCAGACUCCUACGGGAGGCAGCAGUGGGGAAUCUUAGACAAUGGGCGCAAGCCUGAUCUAGCCAUGCCGCGUGUGUGAUGAAGGUCUUAGGAUCGUAAAGCACUUUCGCCAGGGAUGAUAAUGACAGUACCUGGUAAAGAAACCCCGGCUAACUCCGUGCCAGCAGCCGCGGUAAUACGGAGGGGGUUAGCGUUGUUCGGAAUUACUGGGCGUAAAGCGUACGUAGGCGGAUCAGAAAGUAGGGGGUGAAAUCCCAGGGCUCAACCCUGGAACUGCCUCCUAAACUCCUGGUCUUGAGUUCGAGAGAGGUGAGUGGAAUUCCAAGUGUAGAGGUGAAAUUCGUAGAUAUUUGGAGGAACACCAGUGGCGAAGGCGGCUCACUGGCUCGAUACUGACGCUGAGGUACGAAAGUGUGGGGAGCAAACAGGAUUAGAUACCCUGGUAGUCCACACCGUAAACGAUGAAUGCCAGUCGUCGGGCAGUAUACUGUUCGGUGACACACCUAACGGAUUAAGCAUUCCGCCUGGGGAGUACGGUCGCAAGAUUAAAACUCAAAGGAAUUGACGGGGG